rnacentral:misc_RNA from 1 species
AGAAAAAAAAAAAAAAAAAAAACACCCCUCGAAGAUUGCUACACCAUAUAGUUAAUUUGCAGGCCCAUCAUCUUUUCUGACCCACUGUCUAACUUGUUUUCUUGAAUUUUGUAUUCUCUGCUUCCUCCUGCCAAAGUUCCUGUGCUUACCGGAGCUCGGUCUAUUUGAAGAACCCCCAGAAUUUGUUUCCAUGGAUGCUGUUGAGUCUCUUUGCUGUUCUUCCGUGGUUUCUUUAUUCAACGCCUGGGUUGGCAAUGUUACUGGCCGAGGAAGAUACAUACCAGGCAAAACAACUAGAUCUCUUUUUGGUUCAAUUAUGCCACUAUUUUCUUGCUGCAGUUUUAGUAUGGCCUCAAAUUUCUGUUUUCUAAUCUUCUCUGAAUCACACUGGAGUAGUUUCACAUCUUCAAUUUCCGUUCUGUCAGAGCUCUGAGAUCAACAAGAGUCAGUGAAUCAACAUCUUUAUCAUCGAUUAAACUAGUUAAAAACACAACAGCAAAGGAUACACUCCAACAAAAACAAAAUCUAGCAUAGAUUUUACAAGUCCAUAAUUGCCAGGUAAAAAAACUUGAGACUAUCACCCUGCUUUGUGCUAAUGUAAAUAUCAUCAGCAAGAGCUGGGAUAGAAACAAAAAUAAGCUGAUGAGUUUUGACUCGGUAGUACUAGAGCCACUUUCUUUCUCUGUAAUGUUACAAAUUCGAACAUUAGUUGGAGCCCUUUUUCUCUCUCUUAAAAAAAGCAAAUAAAAAAGAAGAAGAAGAUAAGCAAAGCAGAAGUCUCAACUUUGAACAAAAUCUACAUCAGUGAUUAUAGAUGGGAUACCAAUUCAGAGAAAUUCGUUCCAACCAAGCUGCGCACAUGUUCAAAAUCCUUGGUAUGAAAAACCUUGCGGCAAACUGGACAGUCCCCCAUACUUUCUUCCUCUAAGCCAUGAAUGUGAAUGUCUAAUAACACAAGUUCAGGACACGAAAUUGAUAUCAUGUUAGAAAGGUGUUCUACACAAAAAACAAAUUGCUGAAAAUAAUGGAAAUAUCUAGGAAUAUAGUUAGGAGAGAUGACAAAAAAAGGCAUGUGGUUGAACAUGAACAAGUGAAUGUGAACUCAUCUAACAAAAUGUUCACAUCAGUGAGACAGCAGUUUUUACUCAUAAUGAGGAGAAUAGCCAUAAAGAAGCAUCAUCUCUUGACAAAUAGCAACAAUACUAGAAACUAACAACUGGAAGCCCAUAUGCAAUAUUUAUAACCUGAUGAAACAAUUAAUAGUGUUCUACAAAGCUUCUUGAGACCACAAUAACAAGCAUAUCAGUAUAAUCAAUAUGAAAUAUAUAAUCUUGACCUUUUAGACAUCCUACCAGGUAGCCAGAUGAACCAAUCAAUAGUGUUUUAUACAGGUUUUUAGACAACUAGUCAAAUUGUAGCACUAACAUAGGCAUAGAAUAUUAAAAAAAUGCUUACAUCUGACAAGUGUCAAGUUUGUUUUGUAUUUCACAUAAAUGACCAGUCCCCAACCCACCUAUAAUAAAUGAAUCUCUUAUGCUUAAGGAAAUGAUUUUUUGUUACUAAAUUGUCCCAUGAAACUUCUAGUUAAGCUUGGAUAUUGUUAGCACACCUUAAGUAUUCACCCAAACAUACCAUUCUGAUUUCCCCUGUCUCUGAUGGAAUGCAGAGAUGUGGUAGAUGAGAUGUUAAUGUUGCUUUCUUUCUCUUUUUGGAUCCAAUUCCACCAAUUCAUGAUGCAUUCACUACCAUUGGGAGAAUAUAAUACAUUACUUCCAUAAUCUUGUGCAGGAAAAAAGGAAGGGGAUAAGGAGUGGUGCCCCAAAUAUGCCAAAUUCAGACAGAACAAAAGAAUAAAGAAUUCUACCAGUGAAAGCAAUGGAAACAAGACAUCAGCUUCAUAAAUGGUAAGGAUUCAUUCUCUUCGUCUUCUAGGAGCAAAGGGUACAAACACAAUGGACAAUUGCCAUCAGGGUGAUUCAUAAUAGAGAGCUUCUCCACUGCUUCCUGGAAAUACAUCUCAAUCAAUCUUUGCAAAUACAUCAUUCAAUCAAAGGAAGAGGAGAACAAAAGAGUGUUACCUAAAUGAUCUUCAACAAAAUUAGCAGACAAUUCCAAUAUAUGUCAAUAUCAAUAAAAUAAGUAGUAAUGUAAUAAUCAACUUCCACAUUCAGGCACAAGUUUAAUCCUGAGGAUUCCUCCUUUUUUUUAAAAAAGAAAAUAAAGGUAAAGAGACGAUAAAGUUCAUAAUAAAGAACAAAAACAAAGUAGCAAAAGAAUAACAUUGAUUCUAAUAGUGAAAAAUAAGCAAAUCAUGAUAUAUCCUGUUGAUGCCUACAGGUAUUUACUUCAUAUAAUCACCAUUAUACUUGAAGAAAACUACAUGCAUUUAUGACAAUUAACAAUCCCUUAAACGAUGUGGAUAUCAACUAUCAGGUCGCUAAUGCAGUUUUCUCAAUUGGGUGACAUCAUGAAGUAUCAAUACCAAUAGGCAAUACGAACAAAUUGUCGCAAUAAUUACCUCGCAAAGUGCUACAAUCAUCAAACAUGAGAAGAGUUCACAUGCUUUGUCUUGUAUGCUUUUUAUUAGAUGCUUCUGCCUUUGUUCAUCAAGCCCCUUGGAUUCUAUAAGAUCAAUACUGGGUGGCUCCUUUGGAUACUACCACAAGCAAUCAGGCUAGAAUUAGUGCAUAAAUAAAUAAAACCCUAGUUGUCGUUACAAGAUAUUAUUCGACUAUACAUGACCUUGACAUAACAAACAACUGCCCAGGAGAGGGAGAAUCCAGGGAAUUACAGAGAAACAUAAGUUGCAUUGCAAAUACCUGGGAACCUGCUCGUAUCCCAAUAACUGCUUCCACAAACUGUUGGGAAGAGAUAUCGGCGGUUCGUGGCUUGAUGUGAACGUGAAGAUGGGGAGGGAAAGAAUCUAGAACCACACAAUCGUCUCCGUACACCGCUUGCACCGCUUCCACUUCUAUCAGCACUUCUUCUUCUUCGGCCAUCUUUUUUUGGCAAUCCUUUCUGCAGGUAGAGAGGGAAAGGGAUAGAGAGAGGGCCUUGAUGAUUCUAGAGGAAAGUUGGAUCAUGAGCUGCUACCAUGUCGUCUAGCAUUGCUAGGCACGGCGAUGGCUGGCGCAACUAGCGAGGACCGUGAGUUAUAAAUAACCGUCACCA